CAGUCGCCGCGGGAAUACGUAGGUGGCAAGCGUUGUCCGGAAUUAUUGGGCGUAAAGCGCGCGCAGGUGGUUUAAUAAGUCUGAUGUGAAAGCCCACGGCUCAACCGUGGAGGGUCAUUGGAAACUGUUAAACUUGAGUGCAGGAGAGAAAGGUGGAAUUCCUAGUGUAGUGGUGAAAUGCGUAGAGAUUAGGAGGAACACCAGUGGCGAAGGCGGCUUUUUGGCCUGUAACUGACACUGAGGCGCGAAAGCGUGGGGAGCAAACAGGAUUAGAUACCCCCGUAGUCCCUGUCUCUUAUAC
rnacentral:rRNA from 1 species